GACGAACGCUGGCGGCGUGCUUAACACAUGCAAGUCGAACGGUGAAGCGCCUUCCUUUUUGGUGGGUGUGGAUGAGUGGCGAACGGGUGAGUAACACGUGAGUAACCUGCCCCCUUCUUCUGGAUAACCGCAUGAAAGUGUGGCUAAUACGGGAUAUUCUGGGUCUGUCGCAUGAUGGGUCUGGGAAAGAUAUUGUUUCGGUGGGGGAUGGGCUCGCGGCCUAUCAGCUUGUUGGUGGGGUGAUGGCCUACCAAGGCGGUGACGGGUAGCUGGCCUGAGAGGGUGGACGGUCACACUGGGACUGAGACACGGCCCAGAAUCCUACGGGAGGCAGCAGUGGGGAAUAUUGCACAAUGGGCGCAAGCCUGAUGCAGCGACGCCGCGUGAGGGAUGGAGGCCUUCGGGUUGUGAACAUCUUUCGCCAGUGAAGCAGGCCUGCCUCGUUUGUGGGUGGGUUGACGGUAGCUGGAUAAGAAGCGCCGGCUAACUACGUG
rnacentral:rRNA from 1 species